GAAAUAUCUCAAUGAGAU
rnacentral:snRNA from 1 species